rnacentral:rRNA from 1 species
ACGGGUGAGUAAUGCCUAGGAAUCUGCCUGGUAGUGGGGGAUAACGUUCGGAAACGAACGCUAAUACCGCAUACGUCCUACGGGAGAAAGCAGGGGACCUUCGGGCCUUGCGCUAUCAGAUGAGCCUAGGUCGGAUUAGCUAGUUGGUGAGGUAAUGGCUCACCAAGGCGACGAUCCGUAACUGGUCUGAGAGGAUGAUCAGUCACACUGGAACUGAGACACGGUCCAGACUCCUACGGGAGGCAGCAGUGGGGAAUAUUGGACAAUGGGCGAAAGCCUGAUCCAGCCAUGCCGCGUGUGUGAAGAAGGUCUUCGGAUUGUAAAGCACUUUAAGUUGGGAGGAAGGGCCAUUACCUAAUACGUGAUGGUUUUGACGUUACCGACAGAAUAAGCACCGGCUAACUCUGUGCCAGCAGCCGCGGUAAUACAGAGGGUGCAAGCGUUAAUCGGAAUUACUGGGCGUAAAGCGCGCGUAGGUGGUUCGUUAAGUUGGAUGUGAAAUCCCCGGGCUCAACCUGGGAACUGCAUUCAAAACUGUCGAGCUAGAGUAUGGUAGAGGGUGGUGGA